rnacentral:rRNA from 1 species
UACGUAGGGUGCGAGCGUUAAUCGGAAUUACUGGGCGUAAAGGGUGCGCAGGCGGCGUCGCAAGUCAGGCGUGAAAUCCCCGGGCUUAACCUGGGAAUGGCACUUGAAACUACGAUGCUGGAGUAUGGCAGAGGGAGGUGGAAUUCCACGUGUAGCGGUGAAAUGCGUAGAGAUGUGGAGGAUCACCGAUGGCGAAGGCAGCCCCCUGGGUCAAGAUUGACGCUCAUGCACGAAAGCGUGGGGAGCAAACAGG